rnacentral:piRNA from 1 species
CUUGGGAGUCUGAUCUCUGGAA